CUUACAACAAUGGCUUUAGUGGCGGACUGGUGAGUAACGCGUAAGGAACCUGCCUUUUAGAGGGGAAUAACAAUGAGAAAUCAUUGCUAAUACCGCAUAUGCCGAGAGAAUCACAUGGUACAAUCGGGAAAGGAGCAAUUCGCUAAAAGAUGGCCUUGCGUCUGAUUAGAUAGUUGGUGGGGUAACGGCCCACCAAGUCGACGAUCAGUAGCCGGACUGAGAGGUUGAACGGCCACAUUGGGACUGAGAUACGGCCCAGACUCCUACGGGAGGCAGCAGUCGGGAAUAUUGCGCAAUGGAGGAAACUCUGACGCAGUGACGCCGCGUAUAGGAAGAAGGUUUUCGGAUUGUAAACUAUUGUCGUUAGGGAAGAGAAAGGACAGUACCUAAGGAGGAAGCUCCGGCUAACUACGUGCCAGCAGCCGCGGUAAUACGUAGGGAGCGAGCGUUAUCCGGAAUUAUUGGGUGUAAAGGGUGCGUAGACGGGAAGAUAAGUUAGUUGUGAAAUCCCUCGGCUUAACUGAGGAACUGCAACUAAAACUGUUUUUCUUGAGUGCAGGAGAGGUAAGUGGAAUUCCUAGUGUAGCGGUGAAAUGCGUAGAUAUUAGGAGGAACACCAGUGGCGAAGGCGACUUACUGGACUGUAACUGACGUUGAGGCACGAAAGUGUGGGGAGCAAACAGGAUUAGAUACCCUGGUAGUCCACACCGUAAACGAUGGAUACUAGGUGUAGGAGAUAUUAAGUCUUCUGUGCCGUCGCAAACGCAAUAAGUAUCCCACC
rnacentral:rRNA from 1 species